UCGAUGAAGAACGCAGCGAAAUGCGAUAAGUAAUGUGAAUUGCAGAUUUUCAGUGAAUCAUCGAAUCUUUGAACGCACCUUGCGCUCCUUGGUAUUCCGAGGAGCAUGCCUGUUUGAGUGUCAUUAAAUCCUCAACCCCACCGAUUUGCUUCGGGGGAUUGGACUUGGAGCGUGCUGGCGAAGGUCGGCUCCUCUUUAAAUGCAUCAGCGGAAGAAACCUUUGUCUUUCCCGCCUUCGGUGUGAUAAUUGUGUUGCGCCGUGGUGGAACUUCAACGAUCCGCUUACAAUGGUCUUCGGACGAAACCUCAUGUCAUCUUGACCUCAAAUCAGGUAGGACUACCCGCUGAACUUAA
rnacentral:rRNA from 1 species